AUGUUUUGGUCGUAUGGCAGAGACACCGGGCCCCUUGCGUUACCCACUGAGCUUCUUGCGGUGAGGGGAUCAUCACUUAUUCUCCACCAUCUACGAAGAGCCCAUCGGAGCUGGUGUUGUGGCCUCUCCCUCUGCGGAGC